rnacentral:misc_RNA from 1 species
AACGCACGAGACCUGCGGACCUGCGGAGGGAUCAUCAUCAAGAGUGAUCGAGGUGUUGUUUAUGCAGCGCCUCCACCCAAUCUUGUGAACUGUUUUUCUGUGGUUGGUGUGUGAUGUGUUAUGGCACUCCCACAAACAAUCUCCUUUUUCAACCUUUGUCUAACAUGUACCCACAAUUUAAAACAACUUUUAACAAUGGAUCUCU